GCGCACUCUCCUCCUCGCCCCUCUCCUGUGCUGCUCCAUCCAGUAGACUGUUGCAAUCCCUAUUCCCAUCUCGAUAAUCCGCCUGGAUCUCCAUUGCUUCGAUCUCCCUCUCACCUACAUCUCUGGCCAUGGCGUCUUCUGCUUCCUCAGUUCCUGCCGGAUCGGUCGCCGCACCCGAAGACGUCGCUCCUCUCCCCCCUCAUCCGGUGCCCCAGAUGCAACAUGGGGGUGAUUAAGUGGUUCAUCUCCGAGACCCCCCUGAAUCCCAGCCGUCAUUUCUACAAGUGUCAGUUCCGUGAUUCCGGUCGUUGCACCUUCUGAAAAUGGGACAACAAGUACGUCGACUACCUAUGCGCUCGAUGGGCUCAUGUGUUUCUUCCCCCACCUCCUCCGCUCCAGGAUCUUCCUACUGUGGUACUGCGUGACAUUCAGUCCUACCUGAAGAUUUCACUGUCCGUCACCCUUGGUACUCUUGCUGCUGUACUGACGCUUCUAGUCUCCAAAAUGUAGCUCCGUUUGAAUUAUGUAAUAGUUCUAUCUCUAAUUAGUAUGAUCACUAGGCCAAGCAGCUGCCUAUCCAUGUACUAUUAGUUAGUUCUGAUCCAGUGCCAUCUUAGUUAACUGUGGUAGUACGUUGUAAAUUUUCAAUUCUGUCAUACAGAGGUUCUACUGUAAGUCUGUAACUGUCUCCAACGCAAUAUAAUAUGAUUGUGUCAUAUUUUUCGUUUUA